rnacentral:rRNA from 1 species
UGGAUUAACGGAAAAAUUCUUUUUUAAUUUCAAAAAUUGAAGUUAUUUUUGUCAGUGAAGAAACUACAAUAAAAAUUAAGGACAAGAAGACCCUAAGAAUUUUUAAUAAUUUAAAAAAAGUUUUUUUUAAAUUAUUUUAAUUGGGGCGAUUAACAAAAAUAAGAAACUUUAUUUUUCCAAAAAAAUGAACCAUUAAUAAUGGUCAUAUGAAAAAAAUACUCUAGGGAUAACAGCGUAAUAAUUUUAGAUAGUUCUUAUAGACAAAAUAGUUUGCGACCUCGAUGUUGGAUUAGGAUUCUUAUUUAAUGAAGAAGUUAAAAAAAGAAGUUUGUUCAACUUUUAAAAUCCUACAUGAUCUGAGUUC